rnacentral:rRNA from 1 species
CCCUAUUAUAAAGGGUUGACAAAAAAUUAGAGAGUAAGGUAUAAAAUCCCCAAAACUAUCUAGAAUGGCGGUUUUUUUUCUUAUCAGAAAAGUGUGUCUCUAAAACGAAAUUACACGACUAUCUUUCUUACUCUUGAAAAUUUCAUCCUGUACACCGCCGUCUGAAGGGUCAAAAUAAUAGCUUAACUCUCAUCCUCUAAGAAUGGAGGAAUAAGUCAGGUAAGGUGCAGACCAUGGGUAAGAACAGAUGCGCUUCAAUGAACAAACCCGAGAAAGAUUUUGCAAUAACUCCUUUAAGGAGAAUUUGAAAGUAAGAAUUUUUUAUCAAAAAAAUCUGAACUAAUUCUAAAAAAAUGUACACAUCGCCCG